UACGUAGGGUGCGAGCGUUGUCCGGAAUUAUUGGGCGUAAAGGGCUCGUAGGCGGUUUGUCGCGUCGGGAGUGAAAUCCACUGGCUUAACUGGUGGCUUGCUUUCGAUACGGGCAGACUGGAGGUAUGCAGGGGAGAACGGAAUUCCUGGUGUAGCGGUGAAAUGCGCAGAUAUCAGGAGGAACACCGGUGGCGAAGGCGGUUCUCUGGGCAUGUCCUGACGCUGAGGAGCGAAAGUGUGGGGUAGCGAACAGG
rnacentral:rRNA from 1 species